AUAAAACAAAAAAUAAAUCACACAACCCAUUCUGGGCGUAUGUGUGUGUUCGAGCAGAGGAGAAGAAAAGAGGGGGAACCCCUCAUGAACCCUAAUCAACGAAAUUGGAUGCGAAUUGGGCUGAAUUCGAAGUUGCAUGAGUCGAAAUAGUGAUUAUCUAAGCAAGCUUUAACCAAGCGUUAGGGAUCACAUGGAAAUGGACUCAAGCAAGAAAGACUAACGGGUCAAGAGGGGACAAGGAAGCCAAUGAGAAAACGGACGCUCAAGGUAAGUGAUUCCGUAAUCACUUCUUAGUUUGUUUAAGUAGUGUAGCGUUUUAAUUAAUUAAACAUGAUGUUUAAUGUCAAAUAUGGAUUUAGUUGAAUGAAAUUGGUGAAUUUUUCUAAGUAGGCCAAACGGGUCAAAAUGAGGUCUUAUGAUUAUAUCGAAAAGUUGUAAAAGAAAUGGCUACGGUAGUAUAAACGGUUAAUGGGUAGAAUUGCACAUAAGUACGCAAUCCGGGAAUCGGAGAUGUGGUUUAAUAGUCAAAAGACUCAGAUGUGAGUUGGUUUAAUAGAUAUACAUUUGCGCAAGUGGAGGUUUUAGUAAUAAGUUUGAUACGUAGAUUUAACUGGAAUGAAUGAAUUUAAUGAAUACCGGGUAUCAGUUGCGUAAACCCCAAGUACGAAACUCUAGAUAAUAUAAGAGGAUUAUGGAUAUAAUGUUCAUGUAUGUUUUGGGUUAAAACAAAGGAGUGGUUUGAUGAAAACAUAAACGGGUCAAAUAAUUAGAAAAUGAUUAUUAAGUCGAUAGCGUGUAAGUUAAGAAUUUCCUUAAUCCGGAUAUGAGAUUUUAAGUUCAUAUGAUAGAAUGUGAAUUUACAAGCAUAUAGGAAGAAACGUGAGGUUAAACGGACAAUCGGGUUAAAAGUUAUGCGAGUUUUAGUGGGCGUUUUGUAUCUGCACCCGGAGUAUGGAACGCCGGGCAGAAACCCAAACGCCCAUGCUUCACUGUCAAACGCUGGUUCCAUGUUAAAGUGAACGUCGGGGUGUUCCAAACAAGCCUAGAUCACUUUCCUUGAGUUCCUUUGAUGUAUGUAAAGCUCCAUGUGAUAGGUUUAUGAUCCGGAAUCAUCACGCAAUCUUCUACCACUACCCUACAUGUAAAAAAAUGCAUCAAAGUAACAUGUCUUGAUACAAAUUCGAUGCUAAAACAUGUAAAUAUUAACCACUUAGGCGUACCAAAAGCAUACGCAUCAGGUAUGUACGUAUGUAUGUAUGUAUAUAUAUGAUUGUAUGUAGAUAUGCAGGUGCAUAUGAUCAGACGUAUGAAUAUAUGAAUGCACGAAGUAGGAUUUAUCGCCUAUGAAAAGAAUGGGACAGGUAUGCAUGUAUACAUGGUUUCAAUACGUUUGAGUAUGGACGUUACUAAUGAUGUGCUUGAGAUUGGAAUGUAAUGCAGGAAUGAGAACGUCAGACUCUUGUAGAAUUGAAGCCGAACCUUGAAGCUGAACUCGGAACAAAGGAAUCCGAGAGGAUAGUCGAAUGAAUCAAAGUUUAUGUUGUCGAAUGUUAUAUGAUUUUUAAUUUGUAUCAGAUUAUUGUUGUAUGACGUUGUCAAUGACUAAUGGUUAAGUUGUAUGUGGUGUCCACAGGUACUACACGGAUUUUCUUCUACCACUAUCGAAGAUAAGCGGGCAUAGAUCGAGUCGAAUAACAAGGGUUGUACGGAAAGAACGGUUACGUAGUCUUAAUUUUGUAACGCAUUAAUUUGUAAAAAGGGAAGUGAAUUUUGUAAGCUUCUUCUUGAAUGUGUGUAUUGUUAUAAGAUCGUAAAGAAAAUUUUAAAGCUAA